ACAAAAAGAAAAUUACAACA
rnacentral:miRNA from 1 species